UCCCGAACCCUUCGACCACCGCCCUCCCUCCCGGGUGCAGGCAGAAAUGCUGGAUGCCCGCUUUUAUGCUGAUAAUCGGUGGUGGGUUGGAUGAAGAAGUUGUGCGGAUGAGGAUUCGGAUCCGGUCCAAAAGCUUGGUUUUCCAGGUACGGACAAUGGCGAAUCGGAUGAUUUCGUGGAGUGGGAGUACCUUGGGGAGCAAGGUUUUGAAGUUUUCUUCUAUGGCUUGGAAAACCACCUAAUUGGAUCACAUAAGUUGGAAUUAGUACAAAGAGUAAGAUCACUACCAUAGGAUUAAUAAUUUAGGGGUGGAAAUUCGGUCAAGAUUUCACGAUCCGACCUGUUUCAUAACUAUUGACACGAAAUAUUUGCCGAGUUGUUGAUUUUGAUUUCGGUUGUGAUAAAUGGAUUUUCAUCCAAAUUCGGUUGACAUUGAUUGAAAUAAUCAAAUUUGGGGUAUUCUAGCUGACCCAUUACUAGACUAGCCUAGCUAUUAUCGAUAGGGAUGGCAAUUCGGUCAUGGUUAAAGAUUAUAAUCGAUUUACUGAUCUUCUUUCGUCUAUAACUUAAAAUAACUAGGAAGAUUAAUUACCGACCUCAGGCAAGUCUCUGGAGAGGCGGGCACCAAGAAACCCCUCCUUGUCUUCCACGUGGAUAGCACACCCGUACGAGACGUCACUCGACAGGUGGGUCCGGACCAUCUGAUCCAACUUCAGAAUGGCUCGGUCCGAACGGUUGGUAAGGAGGAGGCAGCUCCCUCCGGCUCGGAACAGCACAUUUGAAAACAACAUCGACUUUUCUCUCCCGCCGUACCUGUUCAUUAAUAGAAAUGUUGUGACUAGAAUGUAAUUAGUGUCCACUUACAACUUUAUUUUUUAAUUAACUGAAUUAUUAUUCGUCGUCCUAAAAAUAUUUUUAUGGUAGUAACCCUUUAAUCAGUUGAAUAAAACGAAUCGUUAUGAUCUACUUAUUGACGGUACCAAUUCCCCGUAAUUGACUCCAUCGCCACCACCACCGCGAAACUCCUCUCCCUCUUAUUCUUGAACAUCUGUCGCACAAUGUCGAUCGGCACCACGCCCGAGCUGCACCCCAUCCCGUUGAGGCUGAACGUCUUCACAUCUUCCUUCAUCUUGUACCGGUUCAUGAUCCGAGCCGACAGUGUUGGCGACGGGGCAAAAAGGGAGGUCGUCGUUACCACGAUGUCGAUUUGUGCAGGGGAGAUUUUCGACCUGUCGUGCAACCAGAAAAUUUAUUUAAGGAUUUCGAAUUUAUACCAUAAAAGAUCAACCUACAACAGUCAAUCCUUAAUGGAAAUGAAAAAUCAACAACUUACUCAAGUUUGGCAUACAUUGACGGUACAUUCUAAAACCGUAUAAAAGUUGUAAUUACGCAAAAAUAAGUGGAUGUGUCCGGGUUUGAACUAGUUAAACAUGAUAAAAUUCGGGUAAUUAACCAAUUACUUAGCGAAGAGGGUGUCGAGGAUGGAGAAGGCGGCGUCCUCCAUCUCCCGGAUAGAGUCGCGAAAGGCCGGGAACAUUUCGCGGCCUUCGAGGAAGGUCCUGGAGCAGUAGGUCUCCUCGCCGAUGCCGGAGCGGGAGAUGGCUUUGAUGAGGAACCUGUACUCUUCAAGCCCUAGGUUAGGGUUCCGGAGGAUGAUUUUAGUGGAGUUUCCGGUGCUCAGCUUCAGAUCGUCGGGUGGUUUGUAGCACUGGUAAGCUAAGAGGUAACAACUUGAUUUUUGCAUGAAUUUGAGAAGCUGGCGAAGGAUUAAUGGUAAGGUUAUGAUCAUUAGGGCUAUUGAUGCCAAGAAGAUCACAUGGCUCUCCAUUUUGGGUUGAGCUAUGUAUGAUUAUCACAAGUAACUAGGGACCUUUAUUUAUAGGGAGGUUCUUGUGGAUGGUCUAUGAUCGGGCGGGUUGCGCGGGUCACGGUCAUCUCCAAGAUAUUUGACCGGAAAGGUUUGGUAUCUCGAUGUUGGCCGUUUGUUACCUAGGGUUUGUACUAGCCAGUUAGAGUGGUACGUGAGUUGAGUUUAGAAUGUACGUUAACAAGAUAAUCCAGUCCAUAUUUGGCGUGAGCGUCAGAGCGUCCGGUUAGUGGGUUAAAUCGAAUCGCAUCUCAUUUAGUUUGUGGAUUUUUCGAGAUUUUUGGAUUGUGAACGUUAUUGGGUUUGAGCAAUUUAAUUGAUUAAUCAGCUUCAUCGUGUCAUAAUUGAUUUAAAAUCGGGUUUAUUUGUUUUGAAUAAUCCCCUCAUCAUAUGCCUCUUAUUACGUCAAAACCGAUCGUACAAAAUGUUCAAUCGGAAAUACAAACCCCACAUGCGGGUCAUUGAAAGCAAGAUAAUUAUGUGACAAUGUUUUCCAUUGCCGUUGUCCAUUUAUUGGAGAGUAAGGAUUAAGUUCAGAAAAUCGAGUCUAUUUUUUAUCUAACUUUGAUUUAUGUGGUGGUUAAGUCAUUAAUCCCUCUGCAUAAAUAUACAAUUUUAUUUCUUUAGACAAUGUGGAGUUAGAUGUGCAUGAGGUUUCCUUGGGUCGUGAUCAGUCAUUCAUGUCAACAAAAAUCUAAUUAGGGUUCUGAGUGUACGGAACUCCAAACUUAAAUUCCCAUACAAAUUCCAUUAAUUAAAUUAGAGAGCCAAAUCAAUUGAAAGUACAUGAAAAUGAAAACCCUAGUUAUAAGUUUGGACAAUUGAGUCACCUAAUAUUCAGAAGUAACCGGAUUGGUCACUAACAACCCCGCUUAUGACAUUUUCCCAAACCAAAAUAGUCUCGGAUGGCUCAUGUCAUACCGGUUUAACCACAAUCUCUCCUCCCACAUUGGCGAAAUUUGGCAAUCGACGGUGGCGGAAUCUGUUCACAAUUUGACGAUAAGUAGAAUUGAAACGGCCGGAACCACUGAAUAUAAACUUUAAUUUCGAGAACUUUUACAUAAUCUUUUGUCGGUUUAUGCAAUAGAGUGACCGUGGAAAAUAAAUAGAAAAUGACUACCUUGCCCUUACAGUCUCCGAUAUCAAGUCUCUGUAGUAUUCGGCCCAUGAGCCGAUUUAUAUAUGCAGCCCAAUACCGUGAAAUUCAAAUACCGUCAUCGAACGGCGUAGUCUCGACUGCUCUAAUAUGUAUCAGCUAUUAAUAGAAGGGUUCUUGAUAUUGAAUAACGCUAUACAAUUAAAUGAUCCCACACCAUAUACAUUGGGUUAAUAUACAUAAACUGUCUCAUAAGUUUGGACCGAUCGAGUCACAUAAUAAUCAUUUUUGGCUGGAUUUUUAUGUCAGACGAUGGUGAUGCGUCAUCUAAAAUUAGAAAUUAAUAUUGUCACACACAUUCACACACCCCGAUUUAUGACGUGUCCCUAGACUGAAACAACACUUAUUUUGAAUGGCUCCAUAUCGUACUGGUUCAACCAUAGAUUAUCCCUCCACCAUGUCAUACUGACGAAAUUUGGUUAGCAACGACAUAAUAUAGAUGUCAAUAAGUGGAAUUGAAACGGUCUGAGAGUAAUUAAAAUUUUAAAAUCUAAAAAUUACAGAAAAUUUAAAAACAUGUUAGAUAUAUAUUUUAAUUUGAAAAUUUUUACAUAAUGUGUUAUCAGUCGACGAGGUAACCCUAGUUUCGGGAUGACGAAUCAAAUUAUUUUGUGUUAGGUUCACCGGAUGUUAUUUGAGUUUUAUUCACAAAAAUGUAUUAGUAUUUAGUAAAGAAAUCAAAUAUUUAUAUGAAAAUAAGCAAAUAUGACUAUAUUACCCCUACAUGUAGUACAUGGCCCAUUAACCGAUUUAUAUAAAACCACACGUUGACGAAAUUAAUUACGGUGACCAAAGAUUUGACCGCGGUCGAACCUGACAAAACCAAUGGAAUCCUCGAAAAUCCAGUCAAACUUCUCAGCAUACGAGUUCGCCGACGUCGUAUCAACCGGAUACCUAUCGACACAAUCCGACCACACAUUAUUAUCCCUAUCAUCAUCAACAUCAUCGCCACCGUCCAUCGACAACCACUCAUUCUCGACCGUCCAAAUACAGGUGUUGCACAUGAACCCAGCCCCCAACCCAACCAUGAGCACUUUGUCACCUUUCUUCAGCCUCCUCUUGGCGUCCAUGUACGCCAAAACGUACCACAGGCUGCUACAUGACGUGUUCCCGAACCGGUGCAGCGUCAUUCGAGAUGGCUCCAUGUCGAAUUCCCCAAGCCCGAAGCUCCUCCUGAACCCUUCGACCACCGCCUUCCCUCCCGGGUGCAGGCAGAAAUGCUGGAUGCCCGCUUUUAUGUUGAUAAUCGGUGGUGGUCGGAGGAUCCGGAUCCUGUCCAUAAGCUUGGUUUUCCAGGUACGGACAAUGGCGAAUAGGAUGAUUUCGUGGAGUGGGAGUACCUUGGGGAGCAAGGUUUUGAAAUUUU
rnacentral:lncRNA from 1 species